UACGUAGGGGCUAGCGUUAUCCGGAAUUACUGGGCGUAAAGGGUGCGUAGGCGGUCUUUCAAGCCAGAAGUGAAAGGCUACGGCUCAACCGUAGUAAGCUUCUGGAACUGUAAGACUUGAGUGCAGGAGAGGAGAGUGGAAUUCCUAGUGUAGCGGUGAAAUGCGUAGAUAUUAGGAGGAACACCAGUAGCGAAGGCGGCUCUCUGGACUGUAACUGACGCUGAGGCACGAAAGCGUGGGGAGCAAACAGGAUUAGAUACCCGUGUAGUCCCU
rnacentral:rRNA from 1 species